UUGGUGAUCGUCGGCGACGGAGCCUGCGGUAAAACUUGCCUGCUCAUCGUUUUCUCAAAGGAUCAGUUCCCAGACGUGUAUGUGCCGACUGUUUUCGAGAAUUAUGUUGCCGACAUUGAAGUUGACGGAAAGCAGGUCGAACUUGCUCUAUGGGAUACAGCUGGACAAGAGGACUAUGAUCGUCUGCGUCCACUCUCUUAUCCGGAUACUGACGUCAUUCUGAUGUGCUUCUCAAUUGAUUCACCCGAUUCACUGGAGAAUAUUCCAGAAAAAUGGACACCAGAAGUCAGGCAUUUCUGUCCAAAUGUUCCGAUUAUUUUGGUCGGAAAUAAACGAGAUCUUCGUAGUGAUCCACAGACUGUUCGAGAAUUGGCAAAAAUGAAACAGGAGCCCGUGAAGCCUGAGCAGGGACGAGCAAUUGCUGAGCAAAUUGGAGCAUUUGCAUAUUUGGAGUGCUCUGCGAAGACUAAGGACGGAAUUCGUGAGGUAUUCGAGAAGGCGACACAGGCGGCAUUGCAACAGAAGAAGAAAAAGAAGAGCAAGUGCAUGAUUUUGUAA
rnacentral:misc_RNA from 1 species